rnacentral:tRNA from 1 species
GACAGAAAAUGAGUUGCGACAACCAGCCUUCUAAGCUGUUGGUCGGAGGUUCGAGUCCUCCCGGGGUCGCCA